rnacentral:rRNA from 1 species
CGUAGGAGUACGAGCGUUAUCCGGAUUUACUGGGCGUAAAGCGUGUGCAGGCGGUUCGGCAAGUUGGAUGUGAAAUCUCCCGGCUCAACUGGGAGGGGUCGUUCAAUACUACCGAACUUGAGGUCAUCAGAGGAAGGUGGAAUUCCGGGUGUAGUGGUGAAAUGCGUAGAUAUCCGGAGGAACACCAGUGGCGAAGGCGGCCUUCUGGGAUGAUCCUGACGCUCAGACACGAAAGCUAGGGGAGCGAACGGGAUUAGAGACCCCGGUGGUCCUAGCUGUAAACGAUGUAGACUUGGCGUCGGAGGGUUCAAAACCUUCGGUGUCGUAGCUAACGCGAUAAGUCUACCGCCUGGGGACUACGGCCGCAAGGUUA